CCAAAAAUGUAGUUCCCUCCCCUCGCGCCUUCAUUUUAUUUUGUUUCCUUCUGCCUUCAUUUUUUCCCCGAACCCUAAAUCGCUCUCUCCUCUCCCGGCUGCCUUCAUUUUCCCCAAACCCCUUCCUCGUGCCAUCUUAUUGUCUUAUUGGCUUCGUUAUCAGGUAUUUUUUUUCAUGUAAUUUUCUUAAAGUAGGUGUUUCUUACAGUAUGGUAUUCACAUCUUGAUAGUAAUUUUCUUUGUGUAAUUUGUGGGCUCAACGAGGGUCUUCCCCUGCUUGGGAACGAGGCGUCGAGGCUGCAUUUGUGGACUGAGCAAGGCAUUGAGGUGUCUUUUUGUUCGUUGAGGCGUCUUAUUGUUCGUCGAAGGUCGAGGUGCUCUGGCGCGUUCGCUCCCGCACUGACCGUCAAGAUCUCUGUGUGUAGUAACCCUGUUAUUGAUAAAGGUGUGGCUCAUGAGUCUGUUGGAGUAAAACCAACGACCUUGGUUCCCAAAGAAAUCCCUGUUAAAGAUAAACAUUGUCCCCAAAGCAACACUAAAUAAACAUAGGGAUAAUGAGUAGAUGGUGAGGAAAAUCUUUUGACUUGGUUGAUCGACUUAUUUUCACAGCAUAAAAGCUUGUGGAAUGGUAGCCAUGGGUGCUGUGAUUGUUUGAGAGGGCAAGGGUUUAAACCUUCCCUACGUACUUUAACAAAUAAAACUAUUAUCCCUUUCCUUCAAUUCUUUUAUUCAUACUUCAGGUGGGACCCACGUCAAUUAAUAUCUUAAAAUGAUAGCUUAAUAAGAUUGAGUUAUCUUAUCUUCCUGCAAUAGAAAAGAAAAUAAUAUUCAAGCACAUAUAAUAAUUCAUUAUUUGAAUAUACAUGUUUAAUAAUGUACAACUCACCACUCCUAGUUCCUAUACAUAAAACUAAUAAUAGCUAGCUACCAUCCUAUCUAGUGUUGAACUGCAAUUACCUCACAGUUCACAAACAUACACCGGUUCUUAUGACACAACAAUGAUUUUCUCCUUCGGAUAUCUGUUACUCAGAAACAACUACUCACAUUGUCUACCACUACCAUGGUCCUGUAAGUGUCCUUCUCAAGCAUUGUAUUUUACUUACCCUUGGCUGGCAUGCAGGGUCUGAAUCCUGCUUAGAUAAACAAAUAAAAAAUGUUUAUUUGGCUUUCAAACUGUGAAAAUAAAUUGAAAAAUAAUUUAUGUUGGUAAAUCUCUCUAUUGGUGUCAACCAGUAGAAAAAAGUGAGGAAAGAGCCAUUUGAUGAAGAGAACAUUGGCAGAGAUUCAUAUGCAAAACAGAUCAUACCUUGUUUUUCUGCAUUUCCUUAAUUUCUGCCUGUAACAAACCAAUUGUAAUCAGAGAAGACCAAAACCUUUGUAUACAUUUUACUGAUAAGUGAUAAGGAUGUGGUGCAGAAUGACAGCAUACCUGUUUUCUUUCCAAUUCUCUGUUUAUUUCCUUAAGUUUUGCAACUUCAGCUUCUAGUUCGAAAGUGUAGGCCCGUCAUUCACAAGAGAUAGAAUAUUAUAGUUACGUGCCUUAUAGAAGAUCCACCCACACAGUAAAUUACUAGAGUUUUUUUUUUUUUAUCUUUAGAAUAAAACUAACAUUUUUGAGAAAGUGAGGAACAAAAGAAUAAUAAAAGGUAUAACAAAAGAACGUUAGAAAUUAAUUAUAUAUAUCUUUUAAUUUUUAUUAUUAGGUGAGUUUUAGGAGUUGCAGUGCAAAAGGAAAUGGCUUCAUUUUUCAAAAGAAAUUAAAAUCACAUGAUUUCGUAUGUGUAUAAAGUUAAAAUUUAUUAAUAUUACUUGAGCUAAAACAUAAUUCUGAGAUAGUUUAAAAAAUAAAAACAUGUUUUACCCUUACUUCUCUCUAAGUAUAUGUUAGAACAGUGGAACUAAUACAGUGAUGAGUACUAACAUUCUUACGAGCCCGUGAUCUGGCUGUUGAUUCUCAAUUUUUGAUCAUUCUCCUUUAUCUUCUCUCAACCACUUUCUCUAUAGCACUAGAUUUUCUUCUUGGCGACAGUGGAUUAUUGUCUACAUUACUUCUUGUAAUUACAUCCGAUGACAUUUUUCUCGAGGGAGAAGCCUCUGGAUUACCCGAGGCUAAACCAAUGCUGUGUCAAUGAAUAUGUUAAUUGAUCAGCUCUGUAGAACAAAAAUGCUUGAAGGAGUAAAGUAUACAUAUUCGAAUGAGUGUUUUACAUCAAAGCUGGUUAUUUUCAUAUAAUCAAUCAAAUGAAGGAGCUCAUAACUGGAGUAGGCAAGAAGGCCUAUACUUUGGUUAUGGGAAAGCCAAAACCAACUAAACUUGCUAACUUUCCUGAGGUGAAUGGCAAUAAUAGUAGUAGAAAUUUGAUACUUUUUGUAGAUAGUAUAGUUAGUAAAUAUGAUAUGGUGAAUAGGAUGAUAGAAAAUAAACUGUAUUACAUAAAAAUAAAGAAAAUAAAUUUUGAUUUAUGCCAAUUUGAGUUAGGCAUUGUUUUAUAGAUUAGUCUAGUUUCCUACUAACAAAAGUUUCAUACUAACAUUUUGUCCUAUUUUUGGUAAGCAUUGACAUUUGAAGGAGUAAUAUACUUGUGAACUUUCUGGUGUGGGGUGUUUCUUUUCAGACUUGACAGGAUUUGCAAUACCAAGAGAUGUAAAAAAAAGUUGCAAAAUUUGAUUUUCAUGGGCAGAAGUGGUCCGGUGGUAGUGGUGCUGGUGGAAGAAGAGGUUAGGUGGUGGUGGUGCUGCACCAGCGAAAGAAGAAUAUAAAAUCCUUCAACGGAUAUCAACAUUUGUCUAAGGGAAAACAGAUAUCCCACAUCCGUUUUGGGUUCUAUUCAAAACAGCAGCAACACGAAAAGCACAUCAACACGAACCAGAGCACAACCACAACAAACAACACACAUUCAAAGCAAAUAAACUACCUACCAUGUGCAAAAAAUUAAACUACCUUCCAAAGAUACAAAUAAGUGGUGAAGAAAACCAACCUCGAUGGAGACGAAACCAACCCCGAAGCAACUCUGCUCUACUCAACGCUCUUCAACGCUGCUCCUCAAUGCUCCUCCACACCUCAAAUCUACCGCCAAUGGAAGCAAUGAAAAAGAAAAAAGAAAUGGGAAAGAGGAAGAUCAAAACGAAAAUGAAAAAGGAAAGGGAGGGAAGAAGAAGGGAGAAACGGAAAUGGGGAAAGUGAGAUGUAGGGGUGGAGGUGUAGAGCUGUGCACGGGAAAUGGAAAAAGUGAGAGAGAUGUGGGGGUGGGGUGUAGUAAAGGUGUGCAGUGAAUAAAGGACAGUAAAAUUAGAGUUUAAAAAAAACAGAAAACUUAAUAUAUAAAAAUAAGAAAGUUUUAACCCAAGGAUCUUUCUGGAAAUAAAAAAAUUUGGGGAGAUACAGAGAGAAAAGAGUGGUGGUGCAGGGAGAAUCCCUCUAACAACUGUUCUUUUUCUUAGUAGUUAUUUUGCACAGUCCAAACUUUUAAAAGUUCUCUCACCUUUUAAAUAUUUUCCAAAGUAAUCUCUUGACAAUUUUUUCUUGUAUUGUAACUUACCUCUUAUUAUGUCUAAUUUAAAAACUUGUCUUUCUUUUUCAA